UUUCUUUUCCAGGAUGGCGGGCCCUGGAGAGUGGGGUGGCCCCGGGACGCUCGGGAUGUCGCCUUAGCUGCCAAGACAGCCCAGUCUAGCGACGCCAAAACCCGCCGCCCAGCGACUCCACGGCACUGGCGCAGCCCUAGGCAUCCGUCACCCUUGGACCUUCUCCCCAUCCCUUCUCUACCAGAAGCUGCACUCUGGAACAGCGUUGUCAUCCAUCAUUACAGCUGCACAGUAGAAGCCAGAAAAGGGCAGAGAAUCACCCUGGUUGACCUCAGGAGCACAAAUCCCCUCUGA
rnacentral:lncRNA from 1 species